UACGAGGGGGCGAGCGUUGUUCGGAAUUAUUGGGCGUAAAGGGUGCGUAGGCGGUUCCGCAAGUCCUGUGUGAAAUCUUCGGGCUCAACUCGAAGUCUGCACGGGAAACUGCGGGGCUUGAGUGUGGGAGAGGUGAGUGGAAUUCCGGUGUAGCGGUGAAAUGCGUAGAUAUCGGGAGGAACACCGAUGGCGAAGGCAGGUCUCUGGGCAUUAACUGACGCUGAGGAGCGAAAGCAUGGGGAGCGAACAGG
rnacentral:rRNA from 1 species